rnacentral:rRNA from 1 species
UGGGGAAUAUUGCACAAUGGGCGCAAGCCUGAUGCAGCCAUGCCGCGUGUGUGAAGAAGGCCUUCGGGUUGUAAAGCACUUUCAGCGAGGAGGAAGGUGGUGAAGCUUAAUACGUCAUCAAUUGACGUUACUCGCAGAAGAAGCACCGGCUAACUCCGUGCCAGCAGCCGCGGUAAUACGGAGGGUGCAAGCGUUAAUCGGAAUUACUGGGCGUAAAGCGCACGCAGGCGGUUUGUUAAGUCAGAUGUGAAAUCCCCGGGCUCAACCUGGGAACUGCAUUUGAAACUGGCAAGCUAGAGUCUCGUAGAGGGGGUAGAAUUCCAGGUGUAGCGGUGAAAUGCGUAGAGAUCUGGAGGAAUACCGGUGGCGAAGGCGGCCCCCUGGACGAAGACUGACGCUCAGGUGCGAAAGCGUGGGGAGCAAACAGAUUAGAUACCCUGGU